rnacentral:lncRNA from 1 species
CACAAAAUUAAUAUAAAUGGAGGAAUGUUCAAUGAUCGCCCAAUUUAUAAUAUAAGUAUAAAUACUGCAUUAUGAGGAAAUAAUUUAAUCAAAAUGAACUAACAUUAUUUUAUAAAAUAAAUAAUACUAAUGGGUACUACGCAUGUAAAGAAUUAUAAUUACAUGUUGUUUAUUCAUUAACUAUUACGAAUAGGCAGAAAUAAAAAUCAAAUUACUUAAUCAUCUUUAAUUACGGAUUCAUCACCGAUCAAGUGAUCUAUUUUUCUAUUAGGGCGCUCAAAGAAGUCUGCCACAUCCAAGUGGAUGAUGUCAAAAUUAUUGUCAGAGACAAAAUUGGUGAAGUGAUCUAUUUUUCUAUCAGAGCGCUCAAAGAAGUCUGCCACAUCCAAGUGGAUGAUGUCAAAAUUAUUAUCAGAGACAAAAUUGGUUUCAGGGCAUUUACUCUUUAGAGAUGCUUGAUAAAGCUCAACCAAA